rnacentral:lncRNA from 1 species
UUUUUGAUUUUGCCCAUGAUGCUCUCUCCAUAUCAACCUGUCAGCUUUUGGCCAAAUAUUCUAACCAUCUCUGAGCCUUCUGCUUCUCCUCCAAGCUCUCCUUUCCUAAAAUGAGGAAGGUGAUGUGGAUCAUCAGCACUGGAUUCUCCAUAAACAUUUUUCAGCGACUGUCCACCUUCUGCUCCUUUGACCACACAAAGGGAGGUUUUUGGUGUUUAGAACAUCUCUGAAUCAUGAUGCUGACCAAAAGCCCAUGCAUUUGAGUAUGGUCUAAAGAAAGAAUAUAAGAACAGUGGAAGGCAGACUGAGCCAUGUGAGAGGGCAAGCAACCAGGAAAAUAUGUUGUUGGACUCAUGUGCAGCCCCAGGACUUCUCCUGUCCCUCAAAAUGUUUGGCUGGAACCAAGUUGUUUUGAGCAAGCGUUCCUUAAAGUAGGCUCCUUACUUUUUGGUUGCAAAAUGGCUCUUUCUCAUAAUCAAGGCAAAAAGAUGAAAGACAAGUAGGGACUGUCUGGUACCACCUUUUAUCAAGAAAGU